GAUGAACGCUGGCGGCGUGCCUAACACAUGCAAGUCGAACGGAGUCGUUUUGGAAAUCUCUUCGGAGAUGGAAUUCUCGACUUAGUGGCGGACGGGUGAGUAACGCGUGAGCAAUCUGCCUUUAAGAGGGGGAUAACAGUCGGAAACGGCUGCUAAUACCGCAUAAAGCAUUAAAUUCGCAUGUUUUUGAUGCCAAAGGAGCAAUCCGCUUUUAGAUGAGCUCGCGUCUGAUUAGCUAGUUGGCGGGGUAACGGCCCACCAAGGCGACGAUCAGUAGCCGGACUGAGAGGUGGAACGGCCACAUUGGGACUGAGACACGGCCCAGACUCCUACGGGAGGCAGCAGUGGGGAAUAUUGCGCAAUGGGGGAAACACUGACGCAGCAACGCCGCGUGAUUGAAGAAGGCCUUCGGGGUGUAAAGAUCUUUAAUCAGGGACGAAACAAAUGACGGUACCUGAAGAAUAAGCUCCGGCUAACUACGUG
rnacentral:rRNA from 1 species